GAUAAAAUGAGUUGAGACAUUAAAAAGAAUGAAAUAUGUUCUGGAUUUCUCUAUUUCUCAUGCUACUGUUCAUAGUCUACAAUACCACUAUAGGAUCAUAACUACAAGGUCAAGGUUAAGAUGCUUUUUAUUGUCAAAAAAAUCUAUUUUUAAAUGGUAAUACUUUCAGCCAAGUUGCUUCUAACAUGAAUAUGCUUCUAACAUGUCUAAUACUUAUGUUUCCACAAACUCUAAGGAUUCUUGUAAGUUCCAGGGAGCCGAUUCAGAUCCAAACAGGUCUAAGAGACGCCAGGUAGUUCCAUAUAGCCUGGACUACAAUGAAACAACCAGCUUCCCCAGGACGUGGCAGCACCCCAAACUUCUCGGGUCCCCCAAAGAUGGUCAACGCCCCCCACGUCAGCAGGAAGCAGUCUUAAGAAUUCGACGCCCUUAUUCCUUAACCUGCCAUGUCUAAACACCCCACCUUUUUUAAAUAAUAAGUAGAGGUGGGAAUGAAAGGUUCAGGCAUUAUGCUGGCCUGCCCCUGUUACCUGGUGAAACAGGCAGUACCCUGGUCAGCCCAAGGUUCCAUGGGAACUAAGUCUGCACACAGGUGCAGAGGACCCCUUUAAAAGAUAAGUCCCUGCCCCUUUACGCUCUCUCUCUCUCUCUGUUCCCGUUUUCUCUGUUUCUCUGUUUCUCUGUUCCCGCUCUCCCUGUCUGUUCCCGUUCUCUGUCUCUCUGUUCCUCUGUCCCGCUCUGUCUCUCUAUGGCGACCGGCCAUGGCGGUCAGCCAUUUACCCUGUUCCUCUUCUUAGUCUCCCCAUUCUGCCGGGCCUUAUAAUAAACUUAUAGUCAAU
rnacentral:lncRNA from 1 species